rnacentral:rRNA from 1 species
CCUACGGGCGGCUGCAGUGGGGAAUAUUGCACAAUGGGCGCAAGCCUGAUGCAGCCAUGCCGCGUGUGUGAAGAAGGCCUUCGGGUUGUAAAGCACUUUCAGCGGGGAGGAAGGCGUUAAGGUUAAUAACCUUGGCGAUUGACGUUACCCGCAGAAGAAGCACCGGCUAACUCCGUGCCAGCAGCCGCGGCAAUACGGAGGGUGCAAGCGUUAACCGGAAUUACUGGGCGUAAAGCGCACGCAGGCGGUCUGUCAAGUCGGAUGUGAAAUCCCCGGGCUCAACCUGGGAACUGCAUUCGAAACUGGCAGGCUAGAGUCUUGUAGAGGGGGGUAGAAUUCCAGGUGUAGCGGUGAAAUGCGUAGAGAUCUGGAGGAAUACCGGUGGCGAAGGCGGCCCCCUGGACAAAGACUGACGCUCAGGUGCGAAAGCGUGGGGAGCAAACAGGAUUAGAUACCCCUGUAGUC